GUGCCAGCAGCCGCGGUAAUACAGAGGUGGCAAGCGUUGUUCGGAAUUACUGGGCGUAAAGGGCGCGUAGGCGGUUUCGUAAGUCUUGUGUGAAAGCCCCCGGCUCAACUGGGGAACUGCACGGGAAACUGCGAGGCUUGAGUUCGGGAGAGGGAAGCGGAAUUCCGGGUGUAGCGGUGAAAUGCGUAGAUAUCCGGAGGAACACCGGUGGCGAAGGCGGCUUCCUGGACCGAUACUGACGCUGAGGCGCGAAAGCUAGGGGAGCAAACGGGAUUAGAAACCCCUGUAGUCC
rnacentral:rRNA from 1 species